GAUGAACGCUGGCGGCGUGCUUAACACAUGCAAGUCGAACGAUGAAGCCCAGCUUGCUGGGUGGAUUAGUGGCGAACGGGUGAGUAACACGUGAGUAACCUGCCCUUAACUCUGGGAUAAGCCUGGGAAACUGGGUCUAAUACCGGAUAGGAGCGUCCACCGCAUGGUGGGUGUUGGAAAGAUUUAUCGGUUUUGGAUGGACUCGCGGCCUAUCAGCUUGUUGGUGAGGUAAUGGCUCACCAAGGCGACGACGGGUAGCCGGCCUGAGAGGGUGACCGGCCACAGUGGGACUGAGACACGGCCCAGACUCCUACGGGAGGCAGCAGUGGGGAAUAUUGCACAAUGGGCGCAAGCCUGAUGCAGCGACGACGCGUGAGGGAUGAAGGCCUUCGGGUUGUAAACCUCUUUCAGUAGGGAAGAAGCGAAAGUGAGGGUACCUGGAGAAGAAGCACGGGCUAACUACGUG
rnacentral:rRNA from 1 species